rnacentral:lncRNA from 1 species
UCCGCCCCGCCCGGAAAGGGUGGAGCACAACGUCGAAAGCAGCCGUUGGGAGCCCAGGAGGCGGGGCGCCUGUGGGAGCCGUGGAGGGAACUUUCCCAGUCCCCGAGGCGGAUCCGGUGUUGCAUCCUUGGAGCGAGCUGAGAGCUCGAGAACCUGCUAAGGCCAUCAAACCUAUUGAUCGGAAGUCAGUCCAUCAGAUUUGCUCUGGGCCGGUGGUACCGAGUCUAAGCACUGCGGUGAAGGAGUUAGUAGAAAACAGUCUGGAUGCUGGUGCCACUAAUAUUGAUCUAAAGCUUAAGGACUAUGGAGUGGAUCUCAUUGAAGUUUCAGGCAAUGGAUGUGGGGUAGAAGAAGAAAACUUCGAAGGCUUAACUCUGAAACAUCACACAUCUAAGAUUCAAGAGUUUGCCGACCUACCUCAGGUUGAAACUUUUGGCUUUCGGGGGGAAGCUCUGAGCUCACUUUGUGCACUGAGUGAUGUCACCAUUUCUACCUGCCAUGUAUCGGCGAAGGUUGGGACUCGACUGGUGUUUGAUCACUAUGGGAAAAUCAUCCAGAAAACCCCCUACCCCCACCCCAGAGGGAUGACAGUCAGUGUGAAGCAGUUAUUUUCUACGCUACCUGUGCACCAUAAAGAAUUUCAAAGGAAUAUUAAGAAGAAACGUGCCUGCUUCCCCUUCGCCUUCUGCCGUGAUUGUCAGUUUCCUGAGGCCUCCCCAGCCAUGCUUCCUGUACAGCCUGCAGAACUGUGAGUCAAUUAAACCUGUUUUCUUCAUAAAUUC